rnacentral:rRNA from 1 species
GACGAACGCUGGCGGCGUGCCUAAUACAUGCAAGUAGGACGCAGUUGCGAACGGGUGAGUAACGCGUAGGUAACUACCUAUUAGAGGGGGAUAACUAUUGGAAACGAUAGCUAAUACCGCAUACUCGUAGAUGGACCUGCGUUGUAUUAGCUAGUAGGUAGGGUAAUGGCCUAACUAGGCAACGAUACAUAUCCGACCUGAGAGGGGGAUCGGGCACCCCGGGACUUGGAACCCGCCCAGACUCCUACGGGAGGCAGCAGGAGGGAAACUUCGGGAAUGGGGGGAACCCUGACCGAGCAACGCCGCGGGAGUGAAGAAGGUUUUCGGAUCGGAAAGCUCUGUUUUUUAGGAAGCGGUACUUAACCAGAAAGGGACGGCUAACUACGUGCCAGCAGCCGCGGUAAUUC